UGUGUGUGUGUGUGUGUGUGUGUGUGUGUGUGUGUAUAUACACACACACACAUAUACACACACACG